rnacentral:rRNA from 1 species
AAAUGCGGAAGAGAUAAGUGCUGAAAGCAUCUAAGCACGAAACUUGCCCCGAGAUGAGUUCUCCCUGAGACUUAGAGUCUCCUGAAGGAACGUUGAAGACGACGACGUUGAUAGGCCGGGUGUGUAAGCGCAGCGAUGCGUUGAGCUAACCGGUACUAAUGAACCGUGAGGCUUAACCUUACAACGCCGAAGCUGUU